CCUACGGGAGGCAGCAGUGGGGAAUAUUGGACAAUGGGGGGAACCCUGAUCCAGCGACGCCGCGUGAGUGAAGAAGUAUUUCGGUAUGUAAAGCUCUAUCAGCAGGGAAGAAAGAAAUGACGGUACCUGACUAAGAAGUCCCGGCUAGCUACGUGCCAGCAGCCGCGGUAAUACGUAGGGGGCACGCGUUAUCCGGAUUUACUGGGUGUAAAGGGAGCGUAGACGGCGAUGCAAGUCUGAAGUGAAAGGCGGGGGCCCAACCCCCGGACUGCUUUGGAAACUGUAUGGCUGGAGUGCGGGAGAGGUAAGUGGAAUUCCUAGUGUAGCGGUGAAAUGCGUAGAUAUUAGGAGGAACACCAGUGGCGAAGGCGGCUUACUGGACUGUAACUGACGUUGAGGCUCGAAAGCGUGGGGAGCAAACAGGAUUAGAUACCCGGGUAGUC
rnacentral:rRNA from 1 species